AUGGUGGACUCCUGGGCGACAUCUGAUGAACCAGACCAGGUGGUUUGGAACCUUGGAAAGAACAAGCGCUUCACAACCAAAUCUAUGUAUACUCACCUGGAAAGUCGCCUCGCUGGAGGUAGUUAUAGCUGGGUUUGAAAAGCUAAACUUCCACUCAAAAUUCAAAUCUUCCUCUAGCAAUUAUUCCAAGAUGCAGUGCUGACACGUGAUGUCAUGAAAAGACGUAACUGGGCUGGUAACCCGAAGUGCUACUUCUGUCCGGAUAGGGAAACCUCUCAACACCUCUUCUUCACCUGCCCAGUUGCGAGGGUAGUUUGGAGGACGGUGGGAUGUGUCUUCGACACAGAUUUAUGCCCUGAUAACCUGUGGCAAUAUUUUUCCUGGUGCUAUAUUUUCUUACCCGAUGGUGCUAAAUUCUAUACCUUUGGCCUUGUUGCGAUUUGUUGGGCUAUGUGGAAUUGUCGUAAUCAGGCCACUUUCGAAUUCAAAAAACUGGGAACCCCCUUUGAUGUGAUAUUCUCUUCAUGUGGCUAUAUGAACUAUUAG
rnacentral:rRNA from 1 species